rnacentral:rRNA from 1 species
AGUGGAGUGAUGAGUGCUGGAUAAAUUGCUAGCGGCGGACGGGUGCGUAACACGUGGGUAACCUGCCCCUAUCACUGGGAUAACACACUGAAAAGUGUGCUAAUACCAGAUAACAUAAGCUUUUGGCAUCAUUAGCUUAUCAAAGAAUUUCGGAUAGGGAUGGGCCCGCGUCUGAUUAGCUAGUUGGUGAGGUAACGGCUCACCAAGGCAACGAUCAGUAGCCGACCUGAGAGGGUGAUCGGCCACACUGGAACUGAGACACGGUCCAGACUCCUACGGGAGGCAGCAGUGGGGAAUAUUGCACAAUGGGCGAAAGCCUGAUGCAGCAACGCCGCGUGAGCGAUGAAGGCCUUCGGGUCGUAAAGCUCUGUCCUAUGGGAAGAUAAUGACGGUACCAUAGGAGGAAGCCCCGGCUAACUACGUGCCAGCAGCCGCGGUAAUACGUAGGGGGCAAGCGUUAUCCGGAAUUACUGGGCGUAAAGGGUGCGUAGGCGGUUUAUCAAGUCAGGGGUGAAAGGCUACGGCUCAACCGUAGUGAGCCUCUGAAACUGGUGAACUUGAGUGUAGGAGAGGAAAGUGGAAUUCCCAGUGUAGCGGUGAAAUGCGUAGAUAUUGGGAGGAACAC